UAAAAUAAUAGCUCUAAUUAGAGCUCUGAUUAUUAUGCUGAGGCUACGUUACAGUUACAGUUACAGUUACAUAGCGGUAACGUUACUCCUACUGUAUGAGCUCCUCAGCGUUGUUAAACUAACACUACCACAGUCACUUCUUUUAGCUCAGACAGGUAACUGUAAGAUAACUGUGGUGUUAUAUUAAUGAUUAUAUGAUCAUAAACGUUAUGUUAAUACUAAAGCUAUAUAUACAUAUACAGUAUGACUGCUACUGUUUAGCUUCUUAACGUUGUGAAACAAAGUUUACUAUCACAGUCACUGUUUUUAGCUCAGGCAGGUAACUGUCAGAUAACUGCUGUGUUAUAUUAAUGUUCAUGAUUCAUGAUUAUAUGAUCAUAAACAUUAUGUUAAAUGUUCAUACUAAAGUUAUAUAAACAUGACUGUAGUUUGCAAGGUUUUUCAAGGUAAAAGAAACAUAAUUAUCAUAUGUGUGAAAUUGUUUCUACAUAUAAGUUUUAUUUCAAUGUCUGUUUAGACUUCUCCAGGCUGUCAGUCAUCCUGCAUCCUCUGCCCCAGAAGCUCAGCCUGCAGUCCAGUCUGAAUCCUCACCUGGUGUCUCAGGUGGCAGAAAUACAGUUGGGGACGGGCAUGGUAUGCCAGGUAUGGAUCGUGUUGACAGCCUUGCAGAGCACCUGGUAGAACUGAGGACACAGACCUCCAUGACUCUCAGCAACCAGCAGGUUAGUAAUAUCUGUAAUUUGGAAUACCAUGCUUAGUCCAAAAAGAAUAAGACAAUGUUGUUGUUUUCAUUUCAUUAAUUACUCACAUAAGCCUGUUGUGUGAAUAAAUAUUCAGUCUCUGUUGUUCUUUUCAUGUUUCUUUAUAAGGGCAGCACAAUUGUGGCCCUGUAGCAAAACCUGCUGGACGUUGACAGAGGGCCCAGCAAUCUACAGUGGGCUGGUCACUGCCGGAGGCCCCGCUGGAGUCUGAGCUGAAGGAGUUUCUGGUGAAUCUGUGUGCUGGAAAUCAUUCUGUCUGAUGUUGCAGGGAAUCAGACCCAAUGACAAACAUUAAGAAUAGUAUUAUCUUCUUCAAAUUAUUUCUUCUUGUUGUUUCACGUGUUCCAGGCCCAAAGACAAUAAAGUUAAAGCUUUAAUAUCAUUACUGUCUCAAUUCAUGU